rnacentral:rRNA from 1 species
CAGUAGGCGAAGGCGACUAUCUGGCUCAAAACUGACGCUGAGGGACGAAAGUAUGGGUAUCAAAUGGGAUUAGAGACCCCAGUAGUCCAUACCGUAAACGAUGAGUGUUUUGGAUUCGGGUCCGAAAAAUUUAAUAGCCAGUAAUUUCAUGUAAAUUAGAGGCGGACAAGUGCCAAGGUUGAUUACCUAUAUACGGUAUCUUAUCCUUAAUGAUUAGGUUUGAUCAGGUAAUUUUGAGAAAAAAUAUAACCAUUCUUAUUGCUAGACAAUUAUAGGAUUCCGAGUACAAAAAUUAUAUAUUUUUAAUAAGCUAACGCGUUAAACACUCCGCCUGGGGAGUACAGUCGCAAGACCGAAACUCAAAGGAAUUGACGGGGGCUCACACAAGCGGUGGGGUAUGUGGUUUAAUGCGAUGAUACGCGCAAAACCUUACCAGCUCUUGCAUCUGACAUGUUGAUGAAAUAGAUUUCAUCUUAAUAAAGUCAGACAGGUGUUGCAUGGCUGUCGUCAGCUCGUGUUGUGAAAUGUUUGGUUAAUUCCCUUAACGAGCGAAACCCUUGUGGUUAGAAGGGCUUUUUGAUAUAAAGAAAGCUAUUUAAUCCUACUGCCAUUAAUAAAUUAGAGGAGGGUGAGGAUGACGUCAAGUCCGCAUGGCCCUUAUGGGCUGGGCUACACACAUGCUACAAUGGCAAUUACAAUGAGAAGCAAUGGUGCGAGCCGGAGCAAUCUAUAACUGUUGCCUUAGUUCGGAUUGUAGGCUGCAACUCGCCUACAUGAAGUUGGAAUCGCUAGUAAUCGUAGAUCAGAACGCUACGGUGAAUUUGUACCUGGGCUUUGUACACACCGCCCGUCACACUCUGGAAGUUGUUCUUAAUUGAAGCUUAUAACCUAACCUUUUUGGAGGGUGUAUGUGAGAUUGAGGGGAGCGACUGGAGUGAAGUCGUAACAAGGUAGCUGUAGGGGAACCUGCUGCU